rnacentral:rRNA from 1 species
GAUGAACGCUGGCGGCGUGCCUAAUACAUGCAAGUCGAGCGAACGGACGAGAAGCUUGCUUCUCUGAUGUUAGCGGCGGACGGGUGAGUAACACGUGGAUAACCUACCUAUAAGACUGGGAUAACUUCGGGAAACCGGAGCUAAUACCGGAUAAUAUUUGCAACCGCAUGGUUCAAAAGUGAAAGACGGUCUUGCUGUCACUUAUACAUGGAUCCGCGCUGCAUUAGCUAGUUGGUAAGGUAACGGCUUACCAAGGCAACGAUGCAUAGCCGACCUGCGAGGGUGAUCGGGCACACGGGCACUGAGAGACGGUGCAGACUCCUACGGGAGGAAGCAGUAGGGAAUCUUCCGAAAUGGGAGAAUGCCUGACGGAGCAACGCCGCGUGAGUGAUGAAGGUCUUCGGAUCGUAAAACUCUGUUAUUAGGGAAGAACAUAUGAGUAAGUAACUGUGCACAUCUUGACGGUACCUAAUCAGAAAGCCACGGCUAACUACGUG